rnacentral:rRNA from 1 species
GAUGAACGCUGGCGGCGUGCCUAAUACAUGCAAGUCGAGCGAACAGAUGAGGAGCUUGCUCCUCUGACGUUAGCGGCGGACGGGUGAGUAACACGUGGAUAACCUACCUAUAAGACUGGGAUAACUUCGGGAAACCGGAGCUAAUACCGGAUAAUAUAUUGAACCGCAUGGUUCAAUAGUGAAAGACGGUUUUGCUGUCACUUAUAGAUGGAUCCGCGCCGCAUUAGCUAGUUGGUAAGGUAACGGCUUAACAAGGCAACGAUGCGUAGCCGACCUGAGAGGGAGAUCAGCCACACUGGAACUGAGACACGGUCCAGACUCCUGCGGGAGGCAGCAGUAGGGAAUCUUCCGCAAUGGGCGAAAGCCUGAAAGAGCAACGCCGCGGGAGUGAUGAAGGUUGUCGGAUCGUAAAACUCUGUUAUGAGGGAAGAACAAAUGUGUAAGUAACUAUGCACGUCUUGACGGUGCCUAAUCAGAAAGCCACGGCUAGCUAGGUG